AUCAGCCAUGUAAAGAUAAAAUGAGGGCUAGGAUGACCAGGGACACCCCCCAACCCCAUGGGUGACAGAGUCAGGUGAAAGCGUCUUUGCCAUGGAGUCACCUGCCUACCUUGCCUGCCCACCUGGCUGUGGCCCAGCAGCUGGGGCCUGGUCCUCCUGCUGCUGCCUGACUCCUGCUGCCAUGGGGACAGCGGGGUUGCCAUCGGUGCCGCUCCCUAGCAACCGAGCCUAGCAACGGGCAGCCGGAGCCGCGGCCUGAUUUUUCUUUCCUUUCCCCCCUUGCAGACUGAAUCUUACCUUGCUCCUGAUCUGCCCGGAGGUCGACACUUUCCUGAUGAGUUUUUGUGGCCCUUCGUGCUCCCCUUCGCUGUCGGAGGACUCGUCGCCGGUGGCUCCCGGGCCGCCUCCGGCCGCAUGCUGCUGCUGCUGCUGCGGAGCUCCGGCCCCCGGGCCCGCCAUCCCCACCGCCGCCACCUUCUCCGAUUCCUGCGGGCAGAAGGAAGACUUGGAGUGAGGUUGAGCCGCUUUCCUGUCAGAGCCAGCCCAGCGCGGUGCGGCGCCUCCGGGCUUCGCCGCCAUGUUCCAGCCGGACUCUGGGCAAAGGGCACCACCUGACCUGUUGAAUAUGUUCAGCACUUUAUGUUUUAGUCCUGGAAAAAGGGUGAUGCAGCCAAUACGUAUGGGACCAAAUUGCAAGUGAGCAAAAGUGUGGCCAAAAACAGUUCAGGAUGGAAAAGAAUUCAUUGAUGGAGAUGCAUGACUCUAAUCAGAAGAUCAAGUGGAACCAAGUGAUGGCAAAUCCAUUGAGGCGACUGUUAGAGGAGCAUAACCGGAGAGGAAUUGCGUAAAUAAAAACAUAUAUUGAACGAAAGAUCAUGAAACAGAGACACUGAAAGAAUGUAGGAUGCAUCUGCAGGAACCCAAGAAUAAACAUGGACUUUGAAGACAAAGACAAACACUGAGAUCCAGGAGGUAUGGAAAAAGUAACAGAAAAGCACAUGAUUUCAUUAAGCCACCGAACUCAAACACACAAUGAAGCUUACAGAAUGUGACUUCGAUAGACAGAAACAGGAGGUUCAGAUAAAAAUCAGUUUGUAUCUGAAAUGCCGUACCAGUUGUUUAAAACCACACCAACAUCAUGACUGUAGAUUCAUUGCGCAGUUGGCUGAAAGCAGAGACUUCAUCCUCUCUGCUCCUCCACUUGCCGCUGUCCCUGGGUUACUGGCAAUGUGUUUAUUUUCUGCCACCACCAUCACUUCAAGUGUCUGAGCUGAAGACGGUCAUGCUGCAUAGGUCCCACGUAUCCUCCAACAUUGGACUUCGACUGGCGGUUCCUGGCGUAGAUAGAGUGGAUAGCCAGACACUUUCUCCCAUGGCGGGAUUGUCUAUCACGAGGAGCAUAAUUGGAGGAACAUUUAGGGGAGAUGUCAGAGCGAGCAGUCUGUACUAAGCUGCUGGUCAAGGAAUGCUGCUAGGAGAAAAGGUUCCCUGAUUCAACAGAUGUUUCUCGCUGACUCUCCCUCUCUAACAUCGCUUCUGUAAGAACCUGCAUUUGAACAUACCUUUUUGCCAACGGGCGUGUGUGUGGGGACGUUGCAGGAAAUUGGGACAGCUUCUCCGUUAAGUUGUGGGGAUAUUGUGCUGGUUGGAUUUCUGAAUAUGUGUUAUUCUAAAUUCUGUUUUCUUUUGCUUGUGUUU